rnacentral:rRNA from 1 species
CCUGGCUCAGGAUGAACGCUAGCUACAGGCUUAACACAUGCAAGUCGAGGGGCAGCAUGGUCUUAGCUUGCUAAGGCCGAUGGCGACCGGCGCACGGGUGAGUAACACGUAUCCAACCUGCCGUCUACUCUUGGACAGCCUUCUGAAAGGAAGAUUAAUACAAGAUGGCAUCAUGAGUCCGCAUGUUCACAUGAUUAAAGGUAUUCCGGUAGACGAUGGGGAUGCGUUCCAUUAGAUAGUAGGCGGGGUAACGGCCCACCUAGUCUUCGAUGGAUAGGGGUUCUGAGAGGAAGGUCCCCCACAUUGGAACUGAGACACGGUCCAAACUCCUACGGGAGGCAGCAGUGAGGAAUAUUGGUCAAUGGGCGAGAGCCUGAACCAGCCAAGUAGCGUGAAGGAUGACUGCCCUAUGGGUUGUAAACUUCUUUUAUAAAGGAAUAAAGUCGGGUAUGGAUACCCGUUUGCAUGUACUUUAUGAAUAAGGAUCGGCUAACUCCGUGCCAGCAGCCGCGGUAAUACGGAGGAUCCGAGCGUUAUCCGGAUUUAUUGGGUUUAAAGGGAGCGUAGAUGGAUGUUUAAGUCAGUUGUGAAAGUUUGCGGCUCAACCGUAAAAUUGCAGUUGAUACUGGAUAUCUUGAGUGCAGUUGAGGCAGGCGGAAUUCGUGGUGUAGCGGUGAAAUGCUUAGAUAUCACGAAGAACUCCGAUUGCGAAGGCAGCCUGCUAAGCUGCAACUGACAUUGAGGCUCGAAAGUGUGGGUAUCAAACAGGAUUAGAUACCCUGGUAGUCCACACGGUAAACGAUGAAUACUCGCUGUUUGCGAUAUACUGCAAGCGGCCAAGCGAAAGCGUUAAGUAUUCCACCUGGGGAGUACGCCGGCAACGGUGAAACUCAAAGGAAUUGACGGGGGCCCGCACAAGCGGAGGAACAUGUGGUUUAAUUCGAUGAUACGCGAGGAACCUUACCCGGGCUUAAAUUGCAGAUGAAUUACGGUGAAAGCCGUAAGCUGCAAGGCAUCUGUGAAGGUGCUGCAUGGUUGUCGUCAGCUCGUGCCGUGAGGUGUCGGCUUAAGUGCCAUAACGAGCGCAACCCUUGUUGUCAGUUACUAACAGGUUCCGCUGAGGACUCUGACAAGACUGCCAUCGUAAGAUGUGAGGAAGGUGGGGAUGACGUCAAAUCAGCACGGCCCUUACGUCCGGGGCUACACACGUGUUACAAUGGGGGGUACAGAGGGCCGCUACCACGCGAGUGGAUGCCAAUCCCCAAAACCUCUCUCAGUUCGGACUGGAGUCUGCAACCCGACUCCACGAAGCUGGAUUCGCUAGUAAUCGCGCAUCAGCCACGGCGCGGUGAAUACGUUCCCGGGCCUUGUACACACCGCCC